UGAGGAAUAUUGGUCAAUGGGCGAGAGCCUGAACCAGCCAUGCCGCGUGCAGGAUGACGGCUCUAUGAGUUGUAAACUGCUUUUGUAAAGGGGUAAAGGACAGUACGUGUACUGUGAUGAAAGUACUUUACGAAUAAGGGUCGGCUAACUCCGUGCCAGCAGCCGCGGUAAUACGGAGGGAGCGAGCGUUGUCCGGAAUUACUGGGUGUAAAGGGAGCGUAGGCGGGAAGGUAAGUUGGGUGUGAAAACUAUUGGCUCAACCAAUAGACUGCACUCAAAACUACUUUUCUUGAGUGAAGUAGAGGCAGGCGGAAUUCCUAGUGUAGCGGUGAAAUGCGUAGAUAUUAGGAGGAACACCAGUGGCGAAGGCGGCCUGCUGGGCUUUUACUGACGCUGAGGCUCGAAAGUGUGGGUAGCAAACA
rnacentral:rRNA from 1 species